rnacentral:lncRNA from 13 species
UUUUAAUAUAGCCCCUGUAAUACAUCCUUCAUUCAUUGUUCAUUUGACCUGCUAUCUGAAGGUUCUACAACAUUUAUUUCUGUUCCCUUUGAGAGGGAGUAGUUUAGCCUUCAGGGACUCUAAUUCCCAGUAGGAGUGCUGAUUUGGGAUCAGUUUUACCUUUUAGGUAAAAGAUUACAUGGACAGAGAGACCUGAGCCUAGAUCAGUUUUACCUUUUAGGUAAAAGAUUACAUGGACAGAGAGACCUGAGCCUAGAUCAGCACUCCUACUCUGAGGCGCUUUAUACACUCGGCCCCAGAGCUGUGGUACUGGAUCCAUCGCGACAGCAGCAGAGGCACAGGACAGAUAUUCAGCUAAGUAUUUAGAAGUAUGACACACAGAAAUAAAAUCUAUUAAUUCUGUCAGUUGAUUCAUUUGUCAGAGUUCUGUUUGAUGAUGUCCGAGAGGGGUCAGUUGAAGAUGGUGAAUGGGGAGUGUUUCAUUGUGAUGGAAGUUGAUAAUGCUGUUGGAUUGGUCAGGAUUGCAUAAUGUCAGGGUUACAUAAUGUCGGGGGUGGACUGGAGGUUUUGAGUCUAGUGGACAUCGUCGACACAUCUGUAGGGCCAGGAGUUUUUCCCCAUAACUUGAACUGACCAGAAAAAACCUUGGGCCUUUGUAACAGCCUGUAACUAGGACGUUCUCAGUCAUAGUUAUAGACUGUAACUAGGGUCUUCUCUGAGUUGUCGUUAUAGACUGUAACUACAGUCUUCUCUGAGUCGUCGUUAUAGACUGUAACUAGGGUCUUUGAGUCGUUGUUAUAGGCUGUAACUAGGGUCUGAGUCGUUGUUAUAGGCUGUAACUAGGGUCUUUGAGUCGUUGUUAUCGGCUGUAACUACAGUCUUCUCUGAGUCGUCGUUAUAGACUAUAACUAGGGUAUUUGAGUCGUUGUUAUAGGCUGUAACUAGGGUCUUUGAGUCUUUGUUAUAGGCUGUAACUAGGGUCUUUGAGUCGUUGUUAUAGGCUGUAACUAGGGUCUUUGAGUUGUUGUUAUCGGCUGUAACUACAGUCUUCUCUGAGUCGUCGUUAUAGACUGUAACUAGGGUAUU